rnacentral:rRNA from 1 species
GUUUAUCAAAAACAUUGCCUUUUGAAUAUCAAUAAAAGGUAAGCCCUGCCCAGUGAAGAAUUCAACGGCCGCGGUAUCCUGACCGUGCAAAGGUAGCAUAAUCAUUUGCCCCUUAAUUAGGGGCUGGAAUGAAGGGGUAAACUAAAUUUCCCUGUCUCCUGAAAAAUAAUAAAAAUUUACCUGUUAGUGAAGAGGCUAACAUUAUUCUAAAAGACAAGAAGACCCUAUAGAGCUUCCCGUAACCCUUAUUUAUAAGGCCUACCGGUUUUGUUGGGGCGACAAGGGAGAAAAAUUAACCUCCCUUUAACAACGGCCUAUAAGCCUAUUUCUCUACCCUUAAAUAAGGAUAAAAAAAAGCUACCUUAGGGAUAACAGGCUAAUUCUCCCUAAGAGUUCUAAUCGACGGGAGAGAUUGGCACCUCGAUGUUGGCUUAAGGUUCCUUUAUUGCGCAGAAGUAAUACUAGGUGGUUUGUUCAACCAUUAAAUCCUUACAUGAUCUGA